CUCUUAUCAAGAGUGGCAGAGGGACUGGCCCGAUGAUGCCCAGCAACCGUUCCAUAAUGGAAUUGGUGCUAAAUCCUGCAAAACAUUGAUUUGUUUUGAAAGAUAAGAG
rnacentral:ncRNA from 2 species